GACGAACGCUGGCGGCGUGCUUAACACAUGCAAGUCGAACGGAAAGGCCCUGCUUUUGUGGGGUGCUCGAGUGGCGAACGGGUGAGUAACACGUGAGUAACCUGCCCUUGACUUUGGGAUAACUUCAGGAAACUGGGGCUAAUACCGGAUAGGAGCUCCUGCUGCAUGGUGGGGGUUGGAAAGUUUCGGCGGUUGGGGAUGGACUCGCGGCUUAUCAGCUUGUUGGUGGGGUAGUGGCUUACCAAGGCUUUGACGGGUAGCCGGCCUGAGAGGGUGACCAGCCACAUUGGGACUGAGAUACGGCCCAGACUCCUACGGGAGGCAGCAGUGGGGAAUAUUGCACAAUGGGCGGAAGCCUGAUGCAGCAACGCCGCGUGCGGGAUGACGGCCUUCGGGUUGUAAACCGCUUUCGCCUGUGACGAAGCGUGAGUGACGGUAAUGGGUAAAGAAGCACCGGCUAACUACGUGCCAGCAGCCGCGGUGAUACGUAGGGUGCGAGCGUUGCCCGGAUUUAUUGGGCGUAAAGGGCUCGUAGGUGGUUGAUCGCGUCGGAAGUGUAAUCUUGGGGCUUAACCCUGAGCGUGCUUUCGAUACGGGUUGACUUGAGGAAGGUAGGGGAGAAUGGAAUUCCUGGUGGAGCGGUGGAAUGCGCAGAUAUCAGGAGGAACACCAGUGGCGAAGGCGGUUCUCUGGGCCUUUCCUGACGCUGAGGAGCGAAAGCGUGGGGAGCGAACAGGCUUAGAUACCCUGGUAGUCCACGCUGUAAACGGUGGGUACUAGGUGUGGGGUCCAUUCCACGGGUUCCGUGCCGUAGCUAACGCUUUAAGUACCCCGCCUGGGGAGUACGGCCGCAAGGCUAAAACUCAAAGGAAUUGACGGGGCCCCGCACAAGCGGCGGAGCAUGCGGAUUAAUUCGAUGCAACGCGUAGAACCUUACCUGGGUUUGACAUGGGUCGGGAGUGCUCAGAGAUGGGUGUGCCUCUUUUGGGGUCGGUUCACAGGUGGUGCAUGGCUGUCGUCAGCUCGUGUCGUGAGAUGUUGGGUUAAGUCCCGCAACGAGCGCAACCCUUGUUCACUGUUGCCAGCACGUUAUGGUGGGGACUCAGUGGAGACCGCCGGGGUCAACUCGGAGGAAGGUGGGGAUGACGUCAAGUCAUCAUGCCCCUUAUGUCCAGGGCUUCACGCAUGCUACAAUGGCUGGUACAGAGAGUGGCGAGCCUGUGAGGGUGAGCGAAUCUCGGAAAGCCGGUCUCAGUUCGGAUUGGGGUCUGCAACUCGACCUCAUGAAGUCGGAGUCGCUAGUAAUCGCAGAUCAGCAACGCUGCGGUGAAUACGUUCCCGGG
rnacentral:rRNA from 1 species